AUUGAACGCUGGAGGCAUGCCUUACACAUGCAAGUCGAACGGUAACGCGGGGCAACCUGGCGACGAGUGGCGAACGGGUGAGUAAUGCAUCGGAACGUGCCCGGUAGUGGGGGAUAACUGCUCGAAAGAGCAGCUAAUACCGCAUACGACCUGAGGGUGAAAGGGGGGGAUCGCAAGACCUCUCGCUAUCGGAGCGGCCGAUGUCGGAUUAGCUAGUUGGUGGGGGAAAGGCCUACCAAGGCGACGAUCCGUAGCUGGUCUGAGAGGACGACCAUCCACACUGGGACUGAGACACGGCCCAGACUCCGACGGGAGGCAGCAGUGGGGAAUUUUGGACAAUGGACGCAAGUCUGAUCCAGCCAUGCCGCGUGCGGGAAGAAGGCCUUCGGGUUGUAAACCGCUUUUGUCAGGGAAGAAAUGUCGGUGGGUUCUCCCAUCGAUUUGACCUAUCCGCAGAGGAAGUACGGGCUAAGUUCGUGCCAGCCGCCGCGGUAAGAC
rnacentral:rRNA from 1 species